AGCUCUGGAUGUCAGGGCUACAGACCUAAAUCUGACUCCACCAUGGGUUUGGGAUGAACAUCUUUUUAUAUUCUAUCGUUAUAUAACUUACAUAUUAAUUAUUAAACUUACAUUGUUCUAUUGUAUACGUUGAUUUCAUCCAAGCAUAGGUUUCUCAUGAUCCCCCUCAAACCCUUGAACAUAGUUUCUCAUUAUUCUUCUUAUGAUUAAACAAUAAUUACAUCUAAACAAUCAUCACAUCUAACAAUUAUAUCAUUUAUCAUACACUGGUUACGCAGGUGCAAUUUCACAUGGUCUGGCAAACACAAGGCCUAAUGUUUCCCAGGGCCUAUUUUCAAUAUGUUCCCAGGGCCUACUAAGCCUAACUUUCUUUCUAACUCCCUGAAUAUUCUAUGAUUUUAAAAUCUUUUACUAUCACAGGGAUCCCCACCCAGGACAUCCAAGCCAUGCGUCCCUAAUCCCAGCUGUCACAUCCCCCACUCCACAUCAGGUCACAAUCACCAGCUGGAUGGGCACCUCAUGUUCCGGGCACUCAGCCCAGAGCUGGUCCUGGCUGUGACACCAUAGGGUCAAAGGAACAUAGGGGGGGUCACAUGGAGUCCCUUGGGGGCUGCAGCACCCCUGGGCUUCUGGGUGACCCCAGUGUGUCCCCCUCUGUCUCCAGCAGUGGCCACAUGGUCAGUGGGUCUCUCUUGUUCCUGGUCCUGCUCGUAGGCGACAUCGGGGGCUGGCACCAAUGUCACCACCUGGGUGGGUGACAAUGGAUAUGGAUGGGGAUCCUCUGGUCAAAGGGAGGUCCCCAGAUUGGGGGCAGACAGUGGGACAGCAACAAGUGACUUUGGCUCAGGAUAGCAGAGGGUCUUCAGGUGUUCCUGUAUCAUUCCAGGGGGCCCUUGAGGAAUAUUAUGAUGGUACUGGGAGCUCCUGGUUGGGCUCAGGAGGUAUUGGAUGGUCCUGCAGAGAUGUUGAGGGAGCUUUGGGAAUCCUGGGACAGUUUAUGGGGUGCCCCUCCCUGUCUGGGGAAGCUCGAGUUUCUGGCGAUUCAGCGAUAAAAGGGGGGUUGGUGGUGCAGGGAUGAUUCAGGGCUUCUGUGGGGCUUCAGGGUGCUCAGGAGUGCUGGGGACAGUCAAGGGUCUGGUGUGGGUUCAGGAGUUCCAGGGUCAUUUGGAGGUCCUGAGGACCCUCAGGGGUUCAAGGGCUCUGGGGACUCCAUUGUCACCUUCUCCACCUUUUCCUUUGCAGCUGCCAGGAAGCCCCAGGAGAGGGCCUCCCAGUUGCUGUGGAGGAGAGGGAGUUGCUGGAUACCAAAGAUGUGAUCACCAAGAGGGCAGGGAGGCCCCUCCACAUCUCCCCCCUCCAGCACCCCCUGGUGACCUACCCCAGACUGCUGUGACCCCAUGAGCAACCACGGGACAACAGUAACAUCUAUGAGAAUGUGCCACAGUACUAAGGCAAAGGGGGCACUGAGGGCACUGGAGGCACUGGGGGCACUGGGAUUUCCUCCUCCACAGCUCCUGUGGUUUCCCAUCCUGUCUGGGACAUAGUCACAACUUCUGGGGGGGUUUGCACAAGCACCAAGUGCUCCCCAUUCCCUACCCCAAGUACCUCGAGGGCUUCCCCUGUCCCCUUCCCAGUACCCCCAGGUGCUCCCCACUCCCCCUCCCAGUGCUCCCAAUAUCUCCAGGGGCUCCUUACUCCUCUUCCCACUACUUCUCUAUUGCUCCCAGAGAAUCCAGGGGCUCCCCAUUCCGCCCCUCAGUACCCCUAUGAUCCCAGGGGCUGCCCAUUCCUCCUCCCAGUGCCCUAUCUUGGUUUACAGACAAAUUUAGGAGAAAAUGCUGUGAAAUGAGUGUUUCCUCUAAAGAGAAGGGCUUCAGUAGUCCCUUUUGCCAAUGAGUAAAAUGAAUGCCAGUGAGUGAAAGUGAAAAUAAACCCUCUUUAUUUACAAACAAAGUGCCCACACAGCACAGGAAAAGAAUUGAAUAAAUGCUAGAUAUUGAACUAUCACAACUUUACACAUGCCCCCAGCAGCACAAAAAAACCCAAAAUCCCAGGGCAAGAAAUAAAUGGGCUGGCUGUGUGGUAAAGAUGGGACAAAAUGGGGCUGGCUUUUGUCUCAGGGAAGGGAGAAACAAGAGUUUGUGCAGCAGCUUGGGCAAAACAGGUGGGAACCUGUUGAACUUCUAGCAUUGGUCUUCUCCUCACAGCAGAUGAAGCUAGUGGAUUUUGGUGUCCUUUCUCUUGAUGGUUCAUCUUUUCCUGAGCUCUUGGGCUGGCUGGGGCAGCCCCUGCAGGCUCUCGGCUGAUGGUCUAGGCAAUUGUUUGAUUCCAGACCAAAACUAAGCCCAACAGUUCAAGAGAAAAAUAAAACAGAAGCCACCAAAGGAUUGAUACUGCAGCCUCUGCAGGCCAGGGGAAGGAAAAAAUUAAAAACUUCUUGCUAACAAUAAACCAAGCUAGCUAAGCCACAAGAUAAUGUCUGAUCCACACCACCCUGCACCCAGCACUCUCCAGAGGGAGGCUUUGAUCAAAGCCAGUGCAGGAGCUCCCAGGCUCCCACCCCUCUCCCAGACCCACUUUAAACCUCCAGCAGCCAUUGCUGGGCAUAAAGCAGGUGAUCAGGAAUAGUGCAUCAUCAUAAAAUCAUCCCAAGACAUACCCCUAUGCUCCCAGUGGCUCCCCAUUGCCCCUCCCAAUACCAGGAAGGCACAGGACCCCUGGUAUUGGCCCAAGAUGCAGCUUUUGGGUUAAACUGGCAGAAAUUUGGUUUCUUUGUUCAGCUGUAACAGGCUUUAGGAAUGGGAUUCUCCAAUUCUGAGCUGCCACUAAAAACCAGGGGCCGCUGCCCCUCCCCCUCCCAGUGGAGGCACAGAAGGUGAAGAUCUCAAAGGGCUGAGAGAAGAACAAUUUCCUGCAAACACCAACAAGAGAACAAAACCAACAACAAC